UCUCGUAAUAGGAAUUUAAACGCGGAAUGGUGUGCAAUAAAGAAAACAAAAACAAUUGGAAUGGUUGACAAGCAAACUGCAAAGCGGAAUGAGAGAAGAAAAAUUAAACUUAAUUUGAAGUGAAACAUAGAAAAAUAAUUCGUGUGAAUUAUGGAAAAAUCUCAUCGAAAUUUGAAUAAAUUCCAAAUUCUCUAACACUGAGUAUCUUGAAGGUUAGGAUUCACACAAAUUAUGCUCAAUGCUGUUACCUGGAAAUCAGAAUCACUCUCCUACAUAGACGGCAGUGACAGAAACGGGACAUCUUAAGGUAUGGCACGAAAGCGGCAACAGAACAGAUCACCACAGCUAUUUAGCAAAUUAGUUUUGAAGCAAUUAACAAAACAACCGACACUUUAUAUCCCGGGUUUCGGCACCAAAAUGUUCCACUUUAACUUAAAGGAGGUAUAAAAAUAAACGUUAUUCAUUUCUGUUUUUAUUUUUAUUUAAUUUUAGGAAUUUUUUUCGCUAAGAAGUCGAAGAUCACGCUCUUUAAUGGCGCCAAGUGUAACAAUGGAAUUAAAUUUUAUUUUCUUUUAUCCUAAUUCCAUUCACUUUCUUUACAGCUAACUUCAUUUCAUGGUAUAUACUAUUUACAUACUACAAUCUGAA